rnacentral:lncRNA from 1 species
UAAGAUUUCUUUAUAUUUCCUCUAUGAAUAAUAACCUCGAAGUGUCUUGUGAGGGGAGUUUGAAAAUGCAUUUUAUUUCCUUGAAGAGAGUUUUCAUUGAUUUUCAAAGAAACUACUCGCUUUUUAAAUUGUUUAAUGUAGGUUGCAAAUGCAUUUUAUUUCAGCUUGUUUAAUUUGUUUCAAAUUUAAUUUGUUUAAUUUGUAAUUAUUUAUAAUUUUGUUGUCAAGUGAACCAAAUUUGAAGUGACCGGUCAACCUUCAGGUUGGAAAUGCAUUUUAUUUUAGCUUGUUUGAUAUGCAUUUUUUCUUUCUAGGAUGCAAGGCCAAGUGAACUAAAUUUGAAGUAAUCGAUCAACCUUCAUCUAAUUUGGCUUUCAACCUUAAUUUAAUUGCUUUGGCUUUCAUUUUAUUUGUAUGACCAUUUUACAUGUUUAAUUUAGAUAUCAUUCAAAAUUAUGUGGGUGGUUUUGUUUGGGUUAAAUAGUUUAAGUUUCAACACUAUCAAAACUAUUGAUACUUGAUGACAUGGUUUUCUUUCAAUUCAAAAACAUUGAAUUCAAUGGUUUAAUUGCAUUAUAUUAAAAUUUCAAUUUAUGGGGUUUGGGCCUUGUAAAAUAUUGAAUCAUGUUUAUUUGAGCCUAUGUAAAAACAAUGGAAAUAGUGACCCAAGAUGAAACAAUGUAUGUGAUUUGGGUAUAUGGGUAAAACAACAUAAGAAAGAGUUUUGCUGAAAUUAGGCCUCAUUAGUCCAUGACCAAGAUUUUUGCCAUUGCCUAGCAAAUAUCUUUUUCACCCAAAUAUGGAAAAAGUAUAUAAUAAGUGACAUAAAUUAUAAAAUAACCCAUUAAAAAUAAAUUAUUAUAAUAGUAAUUACGAAGAAAAUACUAUAAAAUAAUAAUUAAAACAUACAUUUUUAUUUAUUUAUUUUCCAUUCAAUAAAAUAUAAUAAUUUUUACCAAAAUAAAAUUUAAUAAUUUGUUUUUAAAAAAAUAUUAUAAAUAGGAUCAGCACUAACACAACCUUGGGCUUCAAGUUUCUGUUUGAGGGAGAGAAAAAGGGGACUAACGCGACCUUGAAUUUCGAUGAAUUUGUAGUCGUUGAAUCUGAAUCGUUGAAUCGGUGGUCUCUUUUUCUGAAUUCAAGUUUCGCAUUCAGGUUUCAAGAUUCUUUAUAGUUGUUUGGCGUCAAUGUUUGGAGGCAACUCUUCUCUGUUUGGUUUCCGACGGUGACAUCCCAUUCUUGAAAUUCAACCAAGAACGUUCAACUCGGUAAAUCUUGAUUAUUCAAACCCUAGAUAUCUAAUUUGAAUUGGUACCAAAAAGAGACGGAUUCUGAAUUGAUGCUAGGGCUUCAUACUGGUUUGCAAACUUUUUUUACUGCUGUGCUUUGAGUCUGAAAUUGACUUUCCAUUUUCCUCUGUUUUCAAAGUCCUUUUUUUCUUCUUCUUUUUAUUUCCUGCAAUUGGUUAUUUGAUAGCUUGCUUUAUGAUGUCUUAUUAAAUGUCGAACCUAUUUGGAAAAUUAAAAAUUAUGUUACAUGUUCAAUUCAACUAAUCAAGGUAGUGUGGUUCAUUUGCAUGAUCCCUUGAUUAAUGGUUAGAAUAUAGCUAUUUUUACACACUUUACAUUAGCAACAAAUAUCAAGUUGAUUUGAUGUGGAUGUAUUUUGCAAGGGGUAGAAUUCUUGGAUGCAAGAUCAAGUAGAACAUCAAGUUGUUUUACUAAUGAAAGCAAGCACCAAUUUUUUUUUGUCCGAUGUGCAUUAACCUUCCAAAUUAUACAUAGUUUUAUCAUGUUUUACUUGUCUCUGUAAUAAAGUGACAUGAGAAAUAAAACUGGGUAGGACAUUUAGGAAUAUAUAUCAUUAGAAAUCUAUAUGUUGGUAGUGUUUAUUCAUGAGGAGUAAAAAUUUGAUAGCUUUGUUGUUCUUAUGGGUAACAUCUUUGUGAAAAUGGCAAAUGCUGCUUGAUUAGCUUGUGGGGCUUAUGGGGUGUUCCUAGUCAAGGGGUUGUGUGCAGGUGCGUCAUCAUGGAAAUUCAUGAUAAAUUGAAUAAAGUACCUGACCUGUUAGUGGUUUUGGUGUUGGUGAUAAAAAAAAUGGGAUAGUAUGUUUGGAUGACCCUAGAUUUAGUUACGAGAUGAAUUUUUGAACUAAAAUGUAGCUUGUAAUAUUAAUUUUUUUAUCCAUAUAAAAUUGGGAUAGUAUGCUGGGAUGAUCUUAAAUUUAGUCACGAGAUGAAUUAUUGAGAGAAAAAUGUGGCAUAUUUUUUAUACAUAUGAAAUUGGGAUAAUGGGCUUUGAUGACACCCUAAAUUUAUUCACAAGAUAGACUCUUGACACAUUAUGUGGCUUGCAAUAUGAAUUUUAUAUUUAUAUGAAAUUGAGAUAGUAGACUUGGAUGACUUUAAAUUUAAUCACAAGAUGGAUUAUUGACCCAAAAGAUUUUGCAAUAUGAAUUUUUAUUCAUAUGAAAUUGGUAUAGUAUGUUUGGAUGACCCCUCAAGUUAAUCACGAGAUAGAUUAUUGACAAAAAAUUGUCGCUUGCAUUGAGUUUUUAUUCAUAUGAAAUUGGGAUAGUAUGCUUGAACGACCCUGAAUUUAAUAAUGGGAUGGAUUCUAGACCCAAAAUGUGGUUUAAUAUAUGAAUUUUAUAUUCAUAUAAAAUUGUGAUGGUACGCUUGGAUGACCCUAAAUUUAAUCACGGAUGGUGGAUUAUUGACCUAAAAUGUGGCUUUGCAAUAUGAAUUUUGUAAUCGUGUGAAUUUGAAAGUACGCUUGGAUGUCCCUAAAUUUAAUCAUGAGAAUGACUCUUGACCAAAAUGUGUCUUGCAAUAUGAAUAAUUUAUUCGUAUGAAUUUGGGAUAGUAUGGAUGGCAAUAAACUCUAAAUGCAACUUCAAUAUGAAUAUUUAUUUGUCUUGAAUGACAAUGGUAAGCUUGCCUUUAGACGACUAGUAUUGUGUUUCGAUGAUUUUGGACGUCAAAUUUGACAUUUGAGCUUAGACGAUCCUAUAUACCAUCAAUUGGGUUGACAAUAUUGUGCCUCUAUAACCAUGGAUGUUAAAUUUGAUAUUUGAGACUAGUAGAUUGACUACGAUAAAUGAAGAUGAUGAUAUUGUGUUUCAAUAACCUUAGAUUUGAAAUUUGAUCUUGUGACGAUGAUAUUGGACCUUGAUGAACAUAUGAUCUUAAAGUAAAAAAUUGAGAUGUUGGUAUUGUCCCUUGGAUGCAAAUUUUAAUAUUUAGAGCAUAAAUGGUCUCAAAUUCGAUAGAUUAAAGUGAUGAUAUUGUACCUUGACGAUAUUGAUAAUUGAACCUAGAUGUUCCAAAUUAUACAUAGUUUUAUCAUAUUCUAUUGUCUUUGUAAUAAAGUGACAUGAGGAAUAUAAGCCUACUUUUUAAAACCUUGUUGGCUAUUCUUCUUUAUGCAUGCAAUUGUAUCAUUAGAAAUCUAUAUGUUGGUAGUGUUUAUUCAUCAGGAGUAAAAAUUUAAUAGGUUUGUUCUUAUGGAGAGCCUCUUUGUGAAAGUGGUAAAUGAUGCUUGAAGAGCUUGUGGGACUUUUGGGCGUUCCUAGUCAAGGUGUUGUGUGUUGGCGUGUCAUCGUGGGAAUUCAUGAUAAAUUGAAUAAAAUUUGGUUACGUAUGUGACCUAUUAGUGGUUUCGGUGUUGCUGAUCAAAUUUUUAUAUUUGGUAGUUGUCUUAACAAAAAAAAAAUGGAAUAGUAUAUUUGGAUGAUUUUAGAUUUAGUUUCGAGAUGAAUUUUUGAACUAAAAUG